AAAACAUUCGGACCCUCGGUCUACCGAGCAACAUCACUCGCUCGGUGGAAAAUCUUCCUUCCGUCGU
rnacentral:pre_miRNA from 1 species